UAUUUAAAAACUACAUAAUCCCAAAAAUGUGGAACGCUUCACGAUGUUGCGUGCCCCCGGCACGUGCAUGGCCCCUGCGCAAGGAUGACACGCAAAAUCGUGAAGCGUUCCACAUUUUU
rnacentral:snRNA from 1 species